GACGAACGCUGGCGGCGUGCUUAACACAUGCAAGUCGAGCGGUAAGGCCCUUUCGGGGGUACACGAGCGGCGAACGGGUGAGUAACACGUGGGUGACCUGCCCUUAGCUCUGGGAUAAGCCUGGGAAACUGGGUCUAAUACCGGAUAUGACUCCAUGACGCAUGUUGUGGGGUGGAAAGCCUUGUGCGGCUAGGGAUGGGCCCGCGGCCUAUCAGCUUGUUGGUGGGGUGANGGCCUACCAAGGCGACGACGGGUAGCCGGCCUGAGAGGGCGACCGGCCACACUGGGGCUGAGACACGGCCCAGACUCCUACGGGAGGCAGCAGUGGGGAAUCUUGCGCAAUGGGCGAAAGCCUGACGCAGCGACGCCGCGUGGGGAUGACGGCCUGGUGU
rnacentral:rRNA from 1 species